UGAGGCCGACAGGCGUAGGCGAUGGAUAACAGGUUGAUAUUCCUGUACCACCUAGCAUCGUUUUAAUCGAUGGGGGGACGCAGUAGGAUAGGCGAAGCGUACGAUUGGAUUGUACGUCCAAGCAGUGAGAUUGAGUGUUAGGCAAAUCCGGCACUCUUAAGAUUGAGCUGUGAUGGGGAGAGGAAAUUGUUUCCUCGAGUCGUUGAUUUCACACUGCCGAGAAAAGCCUCUAGAUAGAUAAUAGGU
rnacentral:rRNA from 1 species